AUUGAGAAAUGCUGGAAGCUAAUGAAAGCUGAACUGAAAAAAUAGAGUAGAAAAACAGAACCCAAUCUGCAAGGACAAGAUAAGUGUCUGGUUUAUUAGAACAUAUCAUCUUAAUUUUGUACAAUAGUGAGAGAAAAAAAGCAGGGAGAGGUGAACAAGGCCAAAAGAACGUAAACCAAAGAAGUAAACUCUGCAAAUCUUGAUGAAUACAACUCCACUGGUAAG